CCUACGGGUGGCAGCAGUGGGGAAUAUUGCUCAAUGGGGGAAACCCUGAUGCAGCAACGCCGCGUGAGUGAGGAAGUAUUUCGGUAUGUAAAGCUCUAUCAGCAGGGAAUCGAACAGAAGGUACCUGAAAAAGAAGCCCAGGCUAACUACGGGCCAGCAGCCGCGGUAAUACGUAGGGGGCAAGCGUUAUACGGAUUUACUGGGUGUAAAGGGAGGGUAGACGGAAAGGCAAGUCAGAAGUGAAAACACAAGGCUCAACCAUGGGACUGCUUUUGAAACUGUCAAACUAGAGUACGGGAGGGGUAAGAGGAAUUCCUAGUGUAGCAGUGAAAUGCGUAGAUAUUAGGAGGAACACCAGUGGCGAAGGCGGCUUACUGGACCGAAACUGACGUUGAGGCACGAAAGCGUGGGGAGCAAACGGGAUUAGAUACCCGGGUAGUC
rnacentral:rRNA from 1 species